CGACUGGCUAAGCAGUGUGGAUACUUCGUAUAAUGUAAUGGAAACAUGCCAGAUUAACACUCUAGAUUUGUAGGUUCGAGUCCUACUGCGUCUCGUUCUACACGCGCCAUCCAGUUAUUUU
rnacentral:vault_RNA from 1 species